rnacentral:rRNA from 1 species
UGGGCAACCUGCCCCUCUCUCUGGGAUAACUCCGGGAAACCGGAGCUAAUACCGGAUACUCCGGUCGAACCGCAUGGCUCGAUCGGGAAAGCUCCGACGGUCUGGGAUGGGCCCGCGGCCUAUCAGCUUGUUGGUGGGGUAACGGCCUACCAAGGCGACGACGGGUAGCUGGUCUGAGAGGAUGGCCAGCCACAUUGGGACUAAGGCACGGCCCAGACUCCUACGGGAG